rnacentral:rRNA from 1 species
AUUGAACGCUGGCGGAAUGCUUUACACAUGCAAGUCGAACGAUGAACCUUAGCUUGCUAAGGGGAUUAGUGGCGAACGGGUGAGUAAUGUAUCGGAACGUAUCCAAUAAUGGGGGAUAACUAGUCGAAAGAUUAGCUAAUACCGCAUACGUCCUACGGGAGAAAGCUAGGGACCUUCGGGCCUGGCGUUAAUGGAGCGGCCGAUAUCUGAUUAGCUAGUUGGUGGGGUAAAGGCUCACCAAGGCGACGAUCAGUAGCUGGUCUGAGAGGACGACCAGCCACACUGGAACUGAGACACGGUCCAGACUCCUACGGGAGGCAGCAGUGGGGAAUUUUGGACAAUGGGCGAAAGCCUGAUUCAGCCAUUCCGCGUGAGUGAAGAAGGCCUUCGGGUUGUAAAGCUCUUUCGCAAGAGAAGAAAACUUAGGCUCUAACAUAGCUUGAGGUUGACGGUACCUUGAUAAGAAGCACCGGCUAACUACAUGCCAGCCGCCGCGGUAA